rnacentral:rRNA from 1 species
CCUACGGGAUGCACCAGUGGGGAAUAUUGCACAAUGGGCGCAAGCCUGAUGCAGCCAUGCCGCGUGUGUGAAGAAGGCCUUCGGGUUGUAAAGCACUUUCAGCGGGGAGGAAGGCGAUAAGGUUAAUAACCUUGUCGAUUGACGUUACCCGCAGAAGAGGCACCGGCUAACUCCGUGCCAGCAGCCGCGGUAAUACGGAGGGUGCAAGCGUUAAUCGGAAUUACUGGGCGUAAAGCGCACGCAGGCGGUCUGUCAAGUCGGAUGUGAAAUCCCCGGGCUUAACCUGGGGACUGCAUUCGAAACUGGCAGGCUAGAGUCUUGUAGAGGGGGGUAGAAUUCCAGGUGUAGCGGUGAAAUGCGUAGAGAUCUGGAGGAAUACCGGUGGCGAAGGCGGCCCCCUGGACAAUGACUGACGCUCAGGUGCGAAAGCGUGGGGAGCAAACAGGAUUAGAUACCCCGGUAGUC